rnacentral:rRNA from 1 species
GUCAAAUCAUCAUGCCCUUUAUGUCCUGGGCUACACACGUACUACAAUGGGCGGUACAGAGCGGAGCGAAGCCGCGAGGCUCGAGCGAAUCGCAAAAAGCCGCCCGUAGUCCGGAUUGAAGUCUGAAACCCGACUUCAUGAAGUUGGAAUCGCUAGUAAUCGCGCAUCAGCAUGGCGCGGUGAAUACGUUCCCGGGCCUU